UUGUGGUUAUAUAACCGUGUCUUAAAGGUGUUUCCCGUCAUGCCAAUGUAUUCUUUAGGUUCAUUGGCAUGACGGGAAACACCUUUAAGAUGAAAGGAUGAAACAGA